ensembl:misc_RNA
AGGAUUGACAUUCUUAAAUCUCCCUUUUAUCCAUAGAAAAGAUAAAGCGUAGUCAGAAAAUAUGCAGCUUUCCUCAGAUUUUCAGGCCAAUAGGUCUUCGUUUGACCUGAAGGGACAUCUCUAAGGGAGGAAAAAGUAGUUUAGUCACCAUUUUCAUUUUAUCCUUGGCCUUG